GAGCAGUGCAGCUUUCUAUAUGAGCACUGAUGAGCUACAAGCUCAGUGUACUCCUUAUCUCCCAGGGGAUAUGGACACAGCCUUUUACAUAUGGCAGAACAAUUCCAAGAUUCUGAGGAGGACCAUUGAUCAGGAGACACAUGAUUAUACUUUGGUUUCACAUUAAGACAGUUAAAGUGACUCAGAAUGUUACUGCUUCUCAGGGCUGGGGAUUUAGCUCAGUGGCACAGCACCUACCUG
rnacentral:lncRNA from 1 species